rnacentral:rRNA from 1 species
CCUACGGGAGGCAGCAGUGAGGAAUAUUGGUCAAUGGACGCAAGUCUGAACCAGCCAUGCCGCGUGCAGGAAGAAGGCUCUAUGAGUUGUAAACUGCUUUUGUACGAGGGUAAACGCAGAUACGCGUAUCUGUCUGAAAGUAGCGUACGAAUAAGGAGGGGCUAACUCCGUGCCAGCAGCCGCGGUAAUACGGAGGCUUCAAGCGUUCUCCGGAUUUAUUGGGUUGAAAGGGUGCGUAGGCGGUCGGAUAAGUUAGAGGUGAAAUCCCGAGGCUCAACUUCGGAAUUGCCUAUGAUACGGUUCGGCUAGAGCGUAGUUGCGGUAGGCGGAAUGUUUGGUGUAGCGGU